rnacentral:ncRNA from 2 species
UAGGUGAACCUGCGGAAGGAUCUUUA